GACAGUAGCCGCACCACGGCCUGGGUGCCCGCAGUGCCUAUUCCCGUAGGCUCUUCCCUUACUCCCAAACAGCAAUCAAAAAGAAACCCCACGCUCACCCAAAAACCUGCAACCAGCCCCCUUGGGACCAGGGCUGCCAGCCUGCCUCCCCCUCCUCCUUCUGAGAUUUGGGCAAGGGGGGCACCCUGCUCAGGGCAGAGCCCAGCCUGGGUUGUCGGCCAGCUCUGCGGAUGAACCAGGCCCUGCCGAGCAUUUAGACCCUAACCCACUAUUCUUCCUCUCGGAAGGACCUAGAAUGGAAGAGAAAACCAAGAAGGCUUUCGGAAAUUCAUGAGCUAAAAAUGUCAGGAAUUUCCUGGGAAACGCAGCUCCUUACGGGAUUCAUUAAAGCAGAAAAGAGUUCAAAAGUAAAGAAGAGGGUCAGAAAUCAUUCGUGUUUUUGUUCCUAGACCUGAUGCAUCCUCGAGGGCCUAUUUUACAACUUCCAGAUAAGAGAACCCGACAUUUUAUGUACCCAAAAGGUCCAAACAGAACGGAUUCAAGUGGUACAACUCUCUUCCAGCUGAUAACUUAAAAUGAUUUUACUACUACUGUACCCAUUGGAAUGAAAUUAGCAACUCACUCUGUGAACACUCCAAUUUCCAAAGCCACAAUUCGUAAAUGCCAUUUGGGAGACGAAAGAGGGGGUCUUGAAAUAAUUCCAAAAUUUCCUCUCCCUUCUGACAGCCUACCAAAAGAUAUCAACCAAAUCCAGCCAAAUCAAGCAAGCCCAUUUGUAAAGCUCUGGGACCUCCCUUCCAAGGACAUGGGACACAAGCAUAGACACCACUGCGAAAAGCUGUAUAAAGGCGCCUGGCUCACAGAAACAUUAAGGGGCUCAGAUCAGAA